UAUAUUGAAUGGCAUCAUUCGAUAUUGAAAACUCCGGUGGAUAGAGAUGGGCACGCGCAAGAUUAGAUAGUUGGUGAGGUAACGGCUCACCAAGUCUGCGAUCUUUAGGGGGCCUGAGAGGGUGAUCCCCCACACUGGUACUGAGACACGGACCAGACUCCUACGGGAGGCAGCAGUGAGGAAUAUUGGACAAUGGGUGAGAGCCUGAUCCAGCCAUCCCGCGUGAAGGACGACGGCCCUAUGGGUUGUAAACUUCUUUUGUAUAGGGAUAAACCUAGAUACGUGUAUCUAGCUGAAGGUACUAUACGAAUAAGCACCGGCUAACUCCGUGCCAGCAGCCGCGGUAAUACGGAGGGUGCAAGCGUUAUCCGGAUUUAUUGGGUUUAAAGGGUCCGUAGGCGGAUCUGUAAGUCAGUGGUGAAAUCUCACAGCUUAACUGUGAAACUGCCAUUGAUACUGCAGGUCUUGAGUGUUGUUGAAGUAGCNUGGAAUAAGUAGUGUAGCGGUGAAAUGCAUAGAUAUUACUUAGAACACCAAUUGCGAAGGCAGGUUACUAAGCAACAACUGACRCUCAAAGGAANWGACGGGGGCCCGCACAAGCGGUGGAUUAUGUGGUUUAAUUCGAUGAUACGCGAGGAACCUUACCAAGGCUUAAAUGGGAAAUGACAGGUUUAGAAAUAGACUUUUCUUCGGACAUUUUUCAAGGUGCUGCAUGGUUGUCGUCAGCUCGUGCCGUGAGGUGUUAGGUUAAGUCCUGCAACGAGCGCAACCCCUGUCACUAGUUGCCAUCAUUAAGUUGGGGACUCUAGUGAGACUGCCUACGCAAGUAGAGAGGAAGGUGGGGAUGACGUCAAAUCAUCACGGCCCUUACGCCUUGGGCCACACACGUAAUACAAUGGCCAGUACAGAGGGCAGCUACACAGCGAUGUGAUGCAAAUCUCGAAAGCUGGUCUCAGUUCGGAUUGGAGUCUGCAA
rnacentral:rRNA from 1 species